UCACUUAUUUUCAACUCCAUUUCUGGUCGC
rnacentral:piRNA from 1 species